rnacentral:rRNA from 1 species
CCUACGGGGGGCUGCAGUGAGGAAUAUUCGGCAAUGGGGGCAACCCUGACCGAGCAACGCCGCGUGGAGGAUGACGGUUUUCGGAUUGUAAACUCCUUUUCUCAGGGAAGAGCGAGGACGGUACCUGAGGAAUAAGUCACGGCUAACUACGUGCCAGCAGCCGCGGUAAUACGUAGGUGGCAAGCGUUAUCCGGAAUUACUGGGCGUAAAGCGCACGCAGGUGGCUGCUUAAGUCUGACGUGAAAGCUCCUGGCUUAACUGGGAGAGGUCGUUGGAGACUGGGCGGCUUGAGGCGAGGAGAGGGGUGUAGAAUUCCCGGUGUAGUGGUGGAAUGCGUAGAGAUCGGGAGGAAUACCAGUGGCGAAAGCGGCACCCUGGCCUUGGCCUGACGCUCAGGUGCGAAAGCGUGGGGAGCGAACGGGCUUAGAUACCCUUGUAGUC